AGGAAGGAGGGAACAGGAGGGGAAGAGCGGGGAGGAGGGAGGACAGAAGAUAUUCAUCAUCAAACAACAUCAUCGUCAUCAUCCUGGAAACGGAGAGACCGAGUCAAACAUAUGAAGUCAAUGGCUAUGAGUGGCAUACUGAUCAAACAAUGGGACAGAAAACACUGAAAAGCAGACAAAACUUCACAGCAGCCAGAGGAAACAAAUCAAUGCCAAUUUUGAUUGGCCCAAUGAGCUGUGACAGAGGAAGCUGAUUGGAUGAGCAUCAGCGAUGUGCUUAAGGCGAUGUUUGGAGUAUAUGUGCUGUGGUUAGUGAAGU